AUUUUGACUUUCUCUCUUUUCCCUUUUUUGGAAAGAAUAAAUUAAAAAUUCAAAUUAAUAGAUAGAUAGAUGGUGGCACAGAAUCGGAGGCCCCGACUGUUUACUAAAAACACAACACAGGGCAAUCAUUAAUGUGGUAGUAUACUGUGUGAAAUUUGCCCAAUGCCAUUAAUAUAAAAGCGGUCAUGGGAAACUGUGACUAAUUGAAAAUCUGGUUAAUAGCGGUCUUAGUCAUGAGGAUUAACAAAAAAACCUACGGGGCCUCACUAAACUCAAUGAUAUGCUGGAACCUUCUAAAGCUUUAAGUACUUUGAAAAGUUAAGUUUAAAUUUAAAAUCAUAAAGAUAUAACAAGGAAAAAUCAGCAGGGAAUAUUAAAUUCAAUUUAAAUAAGUAUUUUGAUAUCUAACAGUGUCUAAAAGAGUAUUAAAAACUUAAAAAAAUUUUUUUUAUAAAUAUAUUUUUAUUUUUCUUUCUUAAAAUUUUUAAUAUGUUAGACACUAUCAAAAAUGAAUUAAAUUCAUAACAAUGUUAAAAAGAGAUAUCCAAAAUAUAAAUUAUCUUUAUUUCUUAGGUGGUUUUGUAGAAGGAGAAGGAUCUAUGUCCGUAUCAGUUACAAUCCACAAAGAUUUUAAAUAUGGAAUUAAUAUUCAACCUAUUUUCAAUAUAACUCAACACAAAAAUGGAUUAAACAUAUUAAAUUCAUACAAAGAACUUUUUAAUGCUGGAUCUAUAGUCCAAAAAUCAGGUUCUCCGGAUAUUUAUGUUUACACUUUUGAAAGGUUAUAAACAAAUAAUUAAAUUAGUUUUACCUUUUUUAGAAACUUACUUGUGUCCGUUUUCUUGUAAAAUGGAAGAAUAUUCUAUAUUUAAAGAAGUUAUUAUACAAUCCUCAGAAGGAAAACAAAGAAAUAAGGAAACAUUAAUAGAAUUAGUAAGAUUAUCAUAUAAAUUAACAGGUAAAGGUAAGGGUAGAAAAAGAGAAUUAUCUGAAAUACUUGAAAUAAUAGAAGAUAAACAUACUUAUUUUAAUAAACAAUCUCUUGUACCUUCAAUAAAUCAAACUUAAUCCCCCUAUUUAAAUUGAAUUUUUAGCCCUCAGAGCCUAGAUAAUUGAGCAAAUAAUGAUAGUUAUUUGAUGAUAUAGUCCAACUGUUUUAGAAAUAUUACCGAUUAUUUCCUAAGGUAGCAAAAUAAAUUGGCCAUUAAAUGUGGUCCGGUAUCAAUAAUGUAACGAUGGCCUCACUGUCUCUACAACUUGCUCAGUGAAAUUGAAUUAC
rnacentral:rRNA from 1 species